AGUGUGUUUAGCAUCAACACUUGAUUCGUUGUCAUAGGAGCGAAAAACUUAAAAUGGUUAUCGCUGUUGUCAACGAUUAUCAACUCCGGGUACAGGUCUCCUUAACCAUUUUGCCUGUCCCUCAGCCUCAUAUCAAGCUAUAAUAUAUCUUUGCAUCACAUUGAUGAUAAUUAUUUCAUUCAUUUGGAGAUUUUACACACAAAACUCCAAGUAUGAAAGUUAGCGACAAUUGUGGAUUUCGCUAUACAUUUCACAAGUCCUGUCUUUGUACUCACAAUCUUUUGAGAGCACUUAUUUCUUUCAGUAUGAGGCCGAUAUAUUUUACUCCAUUCCAUUGAUCUAUAUGUGGACAGGACAUUUCCAAAACAACCAGGAUAUAUACGUAAGCUGUGUGAGGGUAAUAUAUUGAGCUUCGAACAGCUGAAACAUAUGGUACCAUAUCCGUUUUCAAUCGUUUCUCAUCAAGUUUUGGAACACCGUAGUUUCGAGUUCCAUUACCCUUGACUAUAAGAACAGACGUAGGUUUUCUAGCAUGCAUACUUUAGAGAUCUUUAUUAUCAUGUCCAUGUGACAUUUCUAAUACCCCCCUUUUAUUCUUUUCUUGGUGAAUCUCGAUAAUUACAACGAAAUACACUCUACCGAGAAUACUCUUUUGAAUUUUGAGGACAAGAACUUCUUUUCUCCUCCUGCAGUAGAUUGACAUCACCACUAGCAAGUAGGACGUCAUCCACAUGCACAGGAAUUAGGAAACGAGUUUCCCAUUCUAUAACUUUGCAUGAAUACAAUUGUCCUCUCAUUUUCUUUGACCGAAAAUAACAUCUGAUUCUUUUAACUUCAAAUUCCACUGUCUAGAGUCUUGCUCUAGUCCAUAAAAGACUUCUUGAAGCAACAUUCCUCGUGAUCUUUACUUUCAUUUGAUGUUACUCACAUCAUGAUGUGCCACUAACACUCAUUGUAAUCUAUUCAUUCUCUUUGCACAAAAUCUUUCGAUUUAAAUCAUGUUUUACACCUUUACAUAUUUCCUUUGGAGCCACAUUUGCCUUGUAGACCCUUUAAAGCCUACUAUUUUGGCUCCAUUAGAAAUUACUUAUGAGUCCCAAACAUCGUCGGGAUUCACCAAUUUUAUUUCAUCUCACAGUCUCUUAUCAUUUACACAAACAGACACUUCUCUAAGCUCGAUUGAGCGCUUUAAAUGAGGUGGAAUCAAUCUCCAUUUGAAUUUCACUAACAUAGACUUUAUAGUAAUCAGAAGUAUCUGAUUUUCUCAUUCUUUGAGACCAUCAGCGUCCCGGGUACUGACACUUCUUUCAUAUGGGGUUGUUGCUGCUCUGUCAUUGCCAAGAGGCAAACUAAUUCUAUAAUCACCCAUUUCCAAGAGGCAAUAGGUUUUACAGGGACGUGUAUCACAAGAUCCAUGUUUACUCAUUCAUCCUUUAUAGAGCUAACAACAGGUGUUGUAUAGGUCAUACAACAUGCUCCCCCAGAUUACUCCAUCUUCACUAAAAAUGGCGUAUCUUUAAACUUUAUCAUUUGGGUUUAUUAUGUUAAAACUUUCUUCUUUAUGGCACUUUAAGCACCAUUUUUGUAUUCCUUAGUCUGCUUUCGGAACUAUAAAAGAUCCAGAAAUACAACUAUUUCUUUUCUUUAGGGGUAUUAUAAUGGCUGUCGUACUCCCCUUGACAAUCACAUGCUUCAUUAAUGGAUCACUUUAGAUGCAUAAUGUGCUUCACAUUAUCUAAAGUACAGGGGAGUCAUGAAUACAAUGUAUUCCAUAUUUCUUUCUCCCCCUCGAAAUGUGGCAAGAACUUUUCUGCUACAAUUUCGAAAACAAUUCAUAACUCUUGUGAAUUGAGGAAACUUCGAUUCUCUAGUUCAUUCAUCUUAUUACUUCAUGCAAAAUGAAGUUAUAUGUUAACUAGUAUGGGAGUACUUUUUCCUCAUUUCAUUUUAGAAACUCAACAUAGUUCUUUAUAAUUGGUACUUUUGCAAGUCACACUUGCAUAUCAU
rnacentral:lncRNA from 1 species